rnacentral:rRNA from 1 species
ACGGAAGGCAUCAGUUCUUCCUAUUGGUCAAUGGACGGAAGUCUGAACCAGCCAAGUCGCGUGAAGGAAGACGGUUCUAUGGAUUGUAAACUUCUUUUGCCCGAGGGUAAAAUCAGGUACGUGUACCUGUUUGCAAGUAUCGGGUGAAUAAGCAUCGGCUAACUCCGUGCCAGCAGCCGCGGUAAUACGGAGGAUGCGAGCGUUAUCCGGAUUUAUUGGGUUUAAAGGGUGCGUAGGCGGGCUGUUAAGUCAGCGGUGAAAGUUUGCGGCUCAACCGUAAAAUUGCCGUUGAAACUGGCGGUCUUGAGUGUAAACGAGGUAAGCGGAAUGUGACGUGUAGCGGUGAAAUGCUUAGAUAUGUCCCAGAACUCCGAUUGCGAAGGCAGCUUACCAGCAUACAACUGACGCUGAGGCACGAAAGCGUGGGUAUCAAACAGGAUUAGAUACCCUGGUA